rnacentral:rRNA from 1 species
UAAAAAUAUAAAUUUAAAAAAUAGAGUAGUAAUAGUUAUAUUCUUAAAACUUAAUAAAUUUGGCGGUAUUUUAAUCUAUUCAGAGGAACUUGUUUUAUAAUUGAUAAUCCACAUUAAAUCUUACUUAAUUUUGUUUAAUUUGUAUAUCGUCGUCAUAAGAAUAUCUUAAAAAAGAAAAAAUUUUCUAACAUUUAAAUUAAUAAUUAUGUCAGAUCAAGGUGCAGUUUAUGAUUAAGAAAAAAUGAGUUACAAUAAAUUUAUUUAAACGAAUUUUAAAUUUAAAUAUUUAAUUGAAGGUGGAUUUGAUAGUAAAAUAAUCAAUAGAAAUUAUUUGAUUUUAGUUCUAAAAUAUGC